rnacentral:rRNA from 2 species
GGGGAAUAUUGCACAAUGGGCGCAAGCCUGAUGCAGCGACGCCGCGUGAGCGAAGAAGGUUUUCGGAUCGUAAAGCUCUGUCCUCUGGGAAGAAAAAAUGACGGUACCAGAGGAGGAAGCCCCGGCUAACUACGUGCCAGCAGCCGCGGUAAUACGUAGGGGGCUAGCGUUGUCCGGAUUUACUGGGCGUAAAGGGUGAGUAGGCGGUAAUGUGUGUCAGAUGUUUAAUCUAUGAGCUCAACUCAUAUCAGCAUUUGAAACAUACAUAACUUGAGUCCAGGAGAGGUAAGUGGAAUUCCUAGUGUAGCGGUGAAAUGCGUAGAUAUUAGGAGGAACACCGGUGGCGAAGGCGGCUUGCUGGACAAAUACUGACGCUGAGGUGCGAAAGCGUGGGGAGCAAACA